AAGCGGUGGAGCAUGUGGUUAAUUCGAUGCAACGCGAAGAACCUUACCUGGGCUUGACAUCCCGGGAAUCCCUUGGAAACAAGGGAGUGCCCUUCGGGGAACCUGGAGACAGGUGCUGCAUGGCUGUCGUCAGCUCGUGUCGUGAGAUGUUGGGUUAAGUCCCGUAACGAGCGCAACCCUUGUCCUUAGUUACCAGCACGUAAUGGUGGGCACUCUAAGGAGACUGCCGGUGACAAACCGGAGGAAGGUGGGGAUGACGUCAAAUCAUCAUGCCCCUUAUGUUCUGGGCUACACACGUGCUACAAUGGCCGGUACAGACGGAGGCGAAGCCGCGAGGCGGAGCAAAUCCGAAAAAGCCGGUCUCAGUUCGGAUUGCAGGCUGCAAUUCGCCUGCAUGAAGUCGGAAUCGCUAGUAAUCGCAGGUCAGCAUACUGCGGUGAAUACGUUCCCGGGCCUU
rnacentral:rRNA from 1 species